rnacentral:rRNA from 1 species
UACGUAGGGGGCAAGCGUUGUCCGGAAUCAUUGGGCGUAAAGCGCGUGUAGGCGGUUCGGUAAGUCGGCUGUGAAAGUCCAGGGCUCAACCCUGGGAUGCCGGUCGAUACUGCCGGACUAGAGUUCGGAAGAGGCGAGUGGAAUUCCCGGUGUAGCGGUGAAAUGCGCAGAUAUCGGGAGGAACACCAAUGGCGAAGGCAGCUCGCUGGGACGUUACUGACGCUGAGGCGGCGAAAAGCUAGGGGAGCAAACGGG